UACGGAGGGUGCAAGCGUUAAUCGGAAUUACUGGGCGUAAAGCGAACGGAGGUGGUUUGCUAAGCCAGCUGUGAAAUCCCCGGGCUCAACCUGGGCACUGCAGUUGGAACUGGCAAGCUAGAGUAGGGUAGAGGGGUGUGGAAUUCCAGGUGUAGCGGUGAAAUGCGUAGAUAUCUGGAGGAACAUCAGUGGCGAAGGCGACACCCUGGACUCAUACUGACACUGAGGUGCGAAAGCGUGGGGAGCAAACAGG
rnacentral:rRNA from 1 species